rnacentral:rRNA from 1 species
AUUGAACGCUGUCGGCAGGCUUAACACAUGCAAGUCGAGCGAGCGGCGGACGGGUGAGUACUUUCUGGGAAACUGCCUGAUGGAGGGGGCUAACUACUGGAAACGGUAGCUAAUACCGCAUACCGUCAAAUGGGCCCCGAUGGGAUUCUGUAGUAGGUGGGUGAAUGGUCCACCUAGGCGACGAUGCCUAGCUGGUCUGAGAGGAUGACCAUCCACACUGGAACUGGGACACGGUCCAGACUACGACGGGAGGCAGCAGUGGGAAAUAUUGCACAAUGGGCGAAAGCCUGAUGCAGCCAUGCCGCGUGUGUGAAGAAGGCCUUCGGGUUGUAAAGCACUUUCAGCGAGGAGGCGUUACUCUCAGAAGAAGCACCGGCUAACUCCGUGCCAGCAGCCGCGGUAAUUC